GAUGAACGCUGGCGGCGUGCCUAAUACAUGCAAGUAGAACGCUGAAGGAGGAGCUUGCUCUUCUGGAUGAGUUGCGAACGGGUGAGUAACGCGUAGAUAACCUGCCUGGUAGCGGGGGAUAACUAUUGGAAACGAUAGCUAAUACCGCAUGACAACAGUUAUUGCAUGAUAACUGUUUGAAAUGGGCAACUGCUCCACUACCAGAUGGCCCUGCGUUGUAUUAGCUAGUUGGUGAGGUAACGGCGCACCAAGGCGACGAUACAUAGCCGACCUGAGAGGGGGAGCGGCCACACUGGGACUGAGACACGGCCCAGACUCCUACGGGAGGCAGCCGUAGGGAAUCUUCGGCAAGGGACGGAAGUCUGACCGAGCAACGCCGCGUGAGUGAAGAAGGUUUUCGGAUCGGAAAGCUCGGUUGUAAGAGAAGAACGAGUGUGAGAGUGGAAAGUUCACACUGUGACGGUAUCUUACCAGAAAGGGACGGCUAACUACGUG
rnacentral:rRNA from 1 species